CAAGGCCAUCAUUGGACACCUCCUCCAGGAAGCCCUGCUGGAAUGACCCAGAUUCAGCCACUUGACUCCCAGGUCUUCUUAAGUGAGGAGACGUCUCCAGCCUUGCUUCAAUACAUGCUUUCCAACUUCUGCACCUGUUCCACGGUUCCGUCCGCCUGAAGGCUCUCUCACUCUCCUCCAGAAAGACUUCCAUCUCCCUGCAGGGAAACUGGACACAUGGAGACAUUGAGCCACUGCCCAAAGUUACACAGGAAAGCCAGCUAUGUCAAUGUGGACACUCGAGCAGUCCUCUGGAGUGAGCCACAUGGUGAAAAAUGGAGUCCUCCUGCCACCAGCCAAAAGGGACUUGCCAACCUUGUGACUGAGCCGGCCCAGACACUCCAGCCCCAGUUAAACCUUUGGAAGACUGUGGCCUCACCAACAUCUUGACUGCAACUUCGUGAGAGACCCAGAGCUAGACCCAUGCAACUAAGCUGCUCCCCAAUUCCUGGCCCACAGACACUGGGAGAGAUAAUACAUGUUUAUUUCUGUUUGAAGCUGCUAAGUUUUGGGAAUCAGGACACUUUGCCUGCUCAGAGGGAGAGAGGGAAAGAGACAGAGACACAAACACAGAGAGACAGUGACAUGGAGAAGUGCGCCGUGGGCUCACAGUACCAUGUGAAGGACUGGGGCUGCCCUUCUGUAAAGUGAAGGCAGUGGAGAAGUGAAGUGAAGUGUAAGUGAAGAGGAAAGUGAAGGAUGGUAGAGAGCACCCUUGCCCUUGCAGCCUGGCUGUGUUUGGCUUGGGGCUGCUGGUCUCCGACCCUGGCUGGGCUGGUGACACAGCCUAAGGUACCUGGGGGUGGAAUCUGGCACCCCUGAGCAGACCCCUCCCUGGCUCUUGUCCCCCUGUGCUGACACUCUCUGUCCCAGGCUCUCUCUGCCUCCAGACCAGAGCUCCUCCAGGGAAAAGGUGGAGUCUUGUUCGUCUGUGUCCCUCACCUAGCAUAAGGCCUGCCAGAGCAGGCUGGGCGAGGUGAACACAGAAGGUCCUCUGGCCCUGGUACUGGAGAGGCAUCAUCACUGGGGACAGAGUGAGAACCAGGAUGAUGCUGUUUGUUACUGGAGGAGCUCCCAUUGGAUGGAGGAGCCAACAACGACAGGCCAGUGUGAUCAGGGAGAUUGGGACACACAGUGCCGUGGGGGCCCAGAGGAGCAGGGAGGAUCUCUGUGGAGGAGGCGAGAAGUCUUCCCAGAGGAGGAGGCAUUUGAGGUGAGGCCCAAACGGUAAACAGAAGCCAACCCAUGCGGGAGUGUUCUAGGCAGAGGGCAUGGCCUAGCAGAGGUCACAGCCUGGCAAAGUUCUGAAGCUCCAGUUCCUGGGGGGCAGUGUGAAAGAGUAGGCUGCUGGGGCUCCCAUGGCUCUGGAGACCAACAUGGGACUUGGGAGUGGCAGGGUGCCAUAUUGACAGCAGGUGAAAUAUCACCUACAUCUGUCUCAUGGGGAAUUCAUUACAUUUUGGGUUGGGUUUGGGAGUUUUCUUUGGAAACUCAGGGUAGGCAGGGUCUGUAAGCUUGAGUCAGCCCAGGAUGGAGAGGCAGGGUAGGGGAGAACCAAAGUCACCUGGGUGGCCGAAGCUUUACCAGGACCUCAGUGUCCAUUUGGUGUCUUGUGUGUUUCAAGGACUGAGCUUUCUCCCUUUGCCCCUCACAGAAAUUAACCAGUUUAUGUGCCCUGAAAAAUUCCCACUUCCACCCUCUGGGUUCGCAUGCUGGCUCAGUCACUUACUAGCUGUGUGACCUCUCUGCUGCUUAGCUUACUCAUCUGUAAAAUGGGAUAAACACAAAACCUGCCUGAUGGAGAUGUCGUAAGGAUCAAAGAGGAAAAAGAAUUUAAAACAUUUAGAAUGGUGCCUGACCCCCAGCAAGUAUACAAUAAAUAUUGGCUAUUGUUGUUAUUUUAUGUGGUUUUCUUUUAACUUUUUCAAGUAAAUAUAACUUACCUCAUGCUUGUUAUGUGUCAGGCCUUGUAUUUAUCCUCUGAAGACAAAGAUGAGGAAGACAUAGUCCUCCUAGGGGUACAAAUCCUUCAAUAAAGGCAGAAACAAGCAUUGGUCAAAUGUGCCCUGUGCCAAGAAUCCAGGAAUGCAGGAGAGCGGGCUCCUGUCCUCCAGCAGCUCACAGAGUGACGAGGGAGACAGUUGCAUAAGCAGACUGUGGCAACACAGGGUGGUCAGGGCUGCGGCAAAGGGAAGCCCAGGGACUGCAGGAGCCCGGGGAAGUGGCCCAAAGUGGGUGGAGGCUGAGAGGAGCCAGAAGGACCUCUGCUGAGGGGACUGUUGAGAGACAAGGAUUUGCCCACUUUGGCAACUGGCAUCCUUCUCCCUUGGGGAGGUCGGGGGAUGCCUGGGCUCAGUCUUGAUUCUGGGUAUUGGAAAGCCAUCAGGGUUUUGUGAACAGGGAAUUAUGUUUGAAUAAUAGUAACAAUAACUAACAUUUCUCAUGCAGCUACUAUAUACUGUAUGCUGUGCGUACACAAUCUCAUCUCAUAUCCUCACCACAAUGCUGUGAGAUAAGAAAGUGAGACUGGGAGAUAGGAUUGACUUUCCUAAGACCACAGAGUGGAGGAGGAGGAGGGACUGAGUUGGAUAGGUCAGUUUGGGCAGCAAGACGGGCUUCUAUCUUUAUCCCACAGUCCCAGGCACCAUUGUGCUUGACACAGAAUCCAAACUCCCAGCUGUGGCCUACAAAGCCCUGGUGAUCAGGGCCUUGCCAACUCCCUCCAGCCUCACCUGAGGCACCCACUCCUUCCCUGUCAUCAGGCCCCGGCCCACCUUGAU
rnacentral:lncRNA from 1 species